AGGGUGCAAGCGUUAAUCGCCGGAACUGGGCGUAAAGCGCAUGUAGGUGGUUUGUUAAGCCGCUGUGAAAUCCCCGGGCUCAACCUGGGCACUCAGUUGGUACUGGCAAGCUAGAGUAGGGUAGAGGGGUGUGGAAUUCCAGGUGUAGCGGUGAAAUGCGUAGAUAUCUGGAGGAACAUCAGUGGCGAAGGCGACACCCUGGACUCAUACUGACACUGAGAUGCGAAAGCGUGGGGAGCAAACAGGAUUAGAUACCCUGGUAGUCCACGCCGUAAACGAUGUCUACUAGCCGUUGGGUUCCUUGAGGACUUAGUGGCGCAGCUAACGCAAUAAGUAGACCGCCUGGGGAGUACGGUCGCAAGAUUAAAACUCAAAUGAAUUGACGGGGGCCCGCACAAGCGGUGGAGCAUGUGGUUUAAUUCGACGCAACGCGAAGAACCUUACCAGGUCUUGACAUCCAGAGAACUUUCCAGAGAUGGAUUGGUGCCUUCGGGAA
rnacentral:rRNA from 1 species